GCCCGCGUAGCCCAACGGUAGAGGCAGGGGAUUUAAAAUCCUCCGAGUGCGGGUUCGAGUCCCGCCGCGGGCA
rnacentral:tRNA from 1 species